CGCGGCCUAUCAGCUUGUUGGUGGGGUAACGGCCUACCAAGGCUUUGACGGGUAGCUGGCGUGAGAGCGUGGCCAGCCACACUGGGACUGAGACACGGCCCAGACUCCUACGGGAGGCAGCAGUAGGGAAUCUUGCGCAAUGGGCGAAAGCCUGACGCAGCGACGCCGCGUGAGGGAUGAAUGCCUUCGGGUUGUAAACCUCUUUCAGCAGGGACGAAGCCUUACGGUGACGGUACCUGCAGAAGAAGCCCCGGCUAACUACGUGCCAGCAGCCGCGGUAAUACGUAGGGGGCAAGCGUUAUCCGGAUUUAUUGGGCGUAAAGCGCGCGUAGGCGGCCGAUCGCGUCGGAUGUGAAAGCUCGGGGCUCAACCCUGAGAGGCCAUUCGAUACGGAUCGGCUAGAGGCAGGUAGGGGAAGGUGGAAUUCCUGGUGUAGCGGUGAAAUGCGCAGAUAUCAGGAGGAACACCGGUGGCGAAGGCGGCCUUCUGGGCCUGUCCUGACGCUGAGGCGCGAAAGCUGGGGGAGCGAACGGGAUUAGAUACCCCGGUAGUCCCAGCCGUAAACGUUGGGUGCUAGGUGUGGGGAGGUUUCAACCCUCUCCGUGCCGCAGCUAACGCAUUAAGCACCCCGCCUGGGGAGUACGG
rnacentral:rRNA from 1 species